AGAGGGGAGAGAUUAUAAGGGAGGCAGGCCCCUCCCAUCCCAGGAGGAUGGCACUACUCACUAGUCUCCUGCUUUGUACCGUUCCUUCUGCAUUGGCACUCCCUCCAAACACACAAACUCACCCACCCAAGAAAGUCCAUUAGUUGAUAACCCACCCGCCCUGCCCCAUUUCCUUAAUGUUCCACUCAGCAGCCCCUAGGGACCCAAUGAUCUCACUCCCCAGCCCCACCUUCUCCCGACCGGCCCUCACCCGCUUCAGCAUCACGAUUCCCAGCACUGCGAUGCCGGUGAAGAGCAGGGCGACGAGCAGCAUGAGCACCGCCACGGCAGGUUUGGAUCCCACCACCACCAGAGCAGUCACCCAGCCGCUGUGGGAAGAUGCACGGCCCUUCCAUCACCCCCUCACUUACCGGAAAGCCUUAUACAUCGGGCGGUACCAGCAGACAAAGGAGCAGGGAGUGAAAAGGAGCAGCCAGAGCAUAGACAGCCCAAAGCCUGAGCCACUGCCGGUGUCCACACAGAACCUGGCCAGGCAGGCGAAGAA
rnacentral:lncRNA from 1 species